GAUGAAGAACGCAGCGAAAUGCGAUAAGUAGUGUGAAUUGCAGAAUUCAGUGAAUCAUCGAAUCUUUGAACGCACAUUGCGCCCCUUGGUAUCCCGAGGGGCAUGCCUGUUCGAGCGUCAUUUCACCACUCAAGCCUGGCUUGGUGUUGGGCGACGUCCUCUUUGGGGACGCGCCUCGAAACGCUCGGCGGCGUGGCACCGGCUUUAAGCGUAACAGAAUCUUUCGCUUUGGAAGUCGGGGCCCCGUCUGCCGGAAGACCUGCUCGCAAGGUUGACCUCGGAUCAGGCAGGGAUACCCGCUGAACUUAAGCAUAUCAAUAAGCGGAGGA
rnacentral:misc_RNA from 1 species